rnacentral:SRP_RNA from 1 species
GCCCCAGGUCCGCAGGUCAUCCGGUCGUGAACCGCGUCAGGCCCCCGCAGGGAGCAGCGCUAAGCGAUUCGUGAUUACGCUGCGUCAACCUGGGGCAUU